GGGGAUAUAGCUCAACUGGGAGAGCAACUGCCUUGCAAGCAGAAGACCGGGGUUCAAGUCCCCGUUUCUCCACCA
rnacentral:tRNA from 2 species